rnacentral:rRNA from 1 species
AGCGAACGCUGGCGGCAGGCCUAACACAUGCAAGUCGAACGAACCCUUCGGGGUUAGUGGCGGACGGGUGAGUAACACGUGGGAACGUGCCUUUAGGUUCGGAAUAACUCAGGGAAACUUGCGCUAAUACCGAAUGUGCCCUUCGGGGGAAAGAUUUAUCGCCUUUAGAGCGGCCCGCGUCUGAUUAGCUAGUUGGUGAGGUAAUGGCUCACCAAGGCUACGAUCAGUAGCUGGUCUGGGAGGAUGACCAGCCACAUUGGGACUGAGACACGGCCCAAACUCCUACGGGAGGCAGCAGUGGGGAAUCUUGCGCAAUGGGCGAAAGCCUGACGCAGCCAUGCCGCGUGGAUGAUGAAGGUCUUAGGAUUGUAAAAUCCUUUCACCGGUGAAGAUAAUGACUGUAGCCGGAGAAGAAGCCCCGGCUAACUUCGUGCCAGCCGCCGCCGUAAGAC